ACGGGAGGCAGCAGUGGGGGAUAUUGCACAAUGGGGGGAACCCUGAUGCAGCGACGCCGCGUGGGCGAGGGAGCGUUUCGGCGCGUAAAGCCCUUUAAGCGGGGAAGAAAACGACGGUACCCGCAGAAUAAGCCCCGGCUAACUACGUGCCAGCAGCCGCGGUAAUACGUAGGGGGCGAGCGUUAUCCGGAUUUACUGGGUGUAAAGGGAGCGUAGACGGCGCUGCAAGUCCGCGGUGAAAACAUGGGGCCCAACCCCGUGACUGCCGUGGAAACUGCGGGGCUAGAGUACCGGAGGGGCAGGCGGAAUUCCUGGUGUAGCGGUGAAAUGCGUAGAUAUCAGGAAGAACACCGGGGGCGAAGGCGGCCUGCUGGACGGCAACUGACGUUGAGGCUCGAAAGCGUGGGGAGCAAACAGGAUUAGAUACCCUGGUA
rnacentral:rRNA from 1 species